CCUACGGGAGGCAGCAGUGGGGAAUAUUGCACAAUGGGCGCAAGCCUGAUGCAGCGACGCCGCGUGAGCGAUGAAGGCCUUGGGGUCGUAAAGCUCUGUCCUAAGGGAAGAAUAAUGACGGUACCUUAGGAGGAAGCCCCGGCUAACUACGUGCCAGCAGCCGCGGUAAUACGUAGGGGGCGAGCGUUAUCCGGAAUCACUGGGCGUAAAGGGUGCGUAGGUGGCCAUGCAAGUCAGGAGUUAAAUCCCUCGGCUCAACCGAGGUACGCUCUUGAAACUGUAGGGAUUGAGUGCAGGAGAGGAGAGCGGUAGUCGUAGUGUAGCGGUGAAAUGAGUAGAUAUUAGGAGGAACACCAGUGACGAAGGCGGCUCUCUGGAAUGCAACUGACGCUGAGGCACGAAAGCGUGGGGUGCGAACAGGAUUAGAUACCCGAGUAGUC
rnacentral:rRNA from 1 species